UACGGGGGGGGCAAGCGUUGUUCGGAAUUACUGGGCGUAAAGGGCUCGUAGGCGGCCAACUAAGUCAGACGUGAAAUCCCUCGGCUUAACCGGGGAACUGCGUCUGAUACUGGAUGGCUUGAGGUUGGGAGAGGGAUGCGGAAUUCCAGGUGUAGCGGUGAAAUGCGUAGAUAUCGGGAGGAACACCUGCGGCGAAGGCGGGUUGCUGGGCUGACACUGACGCUGAGGCGCGAAAGCCAGGGGAGCGAACGGG
rnacentral:rRNA from 1 species